UGGGGAAUAUUGCACAAUGGGGGAAACCCUGAUGCAGCGACGCCGCGUGAGCGAAGAAGGCUUUCGAGUCGUAAAGCUCUGUCCUAUGAGAAGAUAAUGACGGUAUCAUAGGAGGAAGCCCUGGCUAAAUACGUGCCAGCAGCCGCGGUAAUACGUAUGGGGCGAGCGUUGUCCGGAAUUAUUGGGCGUAAAGGGUACGUAGGCGGUUUUUUAAGUCAGGUGUCAAAGCGUGGAGCUUAACUCCAUUAAGCACUUGAAACUGAAAGACUUGAGUGAAGGAGAGGAAAGUGGAAUUCCUAGUGUAGCGAUGAAAUGCGUAGAUAUUAGGAGGAAUACCGGUGGCGAAGGCAACUUUCUGGACUUUUACUGACGCUCAGGUACGAAAGCGUGGGGAGCAAACAGG
rnacentral:rRNA from 1 species